rnacentral:ncRNA from 1 species
AUAAAGGCAAUGAAGAGAAAAAGUAAAAUGAUUUUGUUUUUCAAAAGAGAGCUUCGGUAGCUGAAAAGAAGCAAAAAUAAACAUUUGAAAAAUGGUCUCUGAGCUUCGUACUGAACAUACUUUUCGUAUUAGUAGGCUGCGACGAGUUUUGACUCUCGUUAUCAACGUCACAGUAUAAGAGUAAAAGUUUUACUCCGUACUUGCUGAGGCAAAUAGUGUGAACUAUUUGUGAAAUAAGGUGGUAUCACGUGGGUAUUCAAACCUCGUCCUUAAC